AAAGAAAAUGCAGACGCUCUCCAAGCCGAUGACUUAGAAAGUGAACAUGGGAGUGCGGCUCUGUGCGUGCGUGAUGCGUGCCAGAAAGAUUCGUGGAAAAAACUGGAUGGUUGUGUGUCUGUGUGAUUGCGCGCGCCAGAUGUGGCCAUGUGAGUUGGUUCAUUCUUGGUCCCGUACCCCCUACUGUUGAGUAAAACUUGGAUCUGGCCCGAGGUGCCAGGACGAUAAAUCAACAGAUCUGACAGCCAAAUCCGGCAGACGCGUGAGCCGCUAGCCCGGCCUGUGCUGUAGCGGGAAUUCGAACUCAGCGCCCAGAG